UGAUUGCCGCUUAUGCUGGGAAUGUGAAUGUACUACGGCUUCUUCUUCAGCAUGGUGUUGAUCUUUUUCAUCGAAACAAGCAUGGCUUUGACGAUUUGGGUAAUCGCCGUCAGUUUAAGCCUGAAGUUAUAAAGACACUGGAGGAAUAUGAAAACUGUAAAAGAACAGGAGAACGCUCUGUAGGAGGCACAGGAGGUCCAGCAGUACCUGAGAUCUCUUGCUCUGGGACGACUGCUGCCCCUCUCAUGGGAGCACCUGUGCAGACUGGAGCAGGUGUCUUGCCAGAAGCUGGAGCACAGCAAGAGGAGGAAUGUGACUCCGUGUCUGAUUUAGACCUAACUUCUCUGAAGGUGGGGCCCAACUGGGCUUGCUUACUUUUGAGCUCUUUUCCUUCUGCUUCCGACACAGGCUUGGAAUGCCAGCAUCUCUUCGGUCAAAACAGACCCUUAAGAUCAUCGAGUCCAGCUGCACAGCUGGCACUGCCAAGUCCAGAACUGAACCAUGUCCCUUAGCAAUACAUCUACACAUCCCCUGAAUACCUCCAGGAAUGGAGACGGGUCCAGAAGGAGUUUGUGCCAGUUCUAACGCAUGUCUUAAUUCACACAGACUGAUUCUGAAGGUCCAGAGGAAGUGUCAGCUGUCAUGCUGCCUCAUGGUGCAAACCAACAAGGAGCGUGUGCGCAGCCUGUUGCAGAGGAGCAUCACAUUGGUGUGUUGCCAGCAGCAGGUGCAGCACAAGAAGAAGAAGAUUUUGACUUCUCUUCUUUGGAUGAGGU